rnacentral:tRNA from 1 species
GCCUCGUUCGUCUAGCGGCCUAGGACGUUGCCCUUUCAAGGCAAAGAUCACGGGUUCGAAUCCCGUACGAGGUAC